rnacentral:lncRNA from 1 species
UACAUGGGACAACCACAUCAGCAACCACGGGGAGUCAGAAUGUGCCGCGUGGCAGACACGCUAACAUUGGCUCCACGCGGAAGGUCAUGUGGGCGAUUUGCAUGCCUGGGCAAUCGAACGGUCUAGAUCGCAUCCCGCGCGCAUGAACGACCUAGAUUUGUUUCCUCUUUAGAUACGAUCGGAUGGAUAGGAUUAAUCGCUAUGGAUGGACUUGAUUCGAACACGUGAUCAGCUUAAACAAGCAACGAUCGAACGGUUAUUCUCGCUCC